rnacentral:rRNA from 1 species
AGAGUUUGAUCAUGGCUCAGGACGAACGCUGGCGGCGUGCCUAAUACAUGCAAGUCGAACGCUUCUUUUCCCACCGGAGCUUGCUCCACCGGGAAAAGAGGAGUGGCGAACGGGUGAGUAACACGUGGGUAACCUGCCCAUCAGAAGGGGAUAACACUUGGAAACAGGUGCUAAUACCGUAUAACAAUCGAAACCGCAUGGUUUCGUUUUGAAAGGCGCUUUACGGUGCCGCUGAUGGAUGGACCCGCGGUGCAUUAGCUAGUUGGUGAGGUAACGGCUCACCAAGGCCACGAUGCAUAGCCGACCUGAGAGGGUGAUCGGCCACAUUGGGACUGAGACACGGCCCAAACUCCUACGGGAGGCAGCAGUAGGGAAUCUUCGGCAAUGGACGAAAGUCUGACCGAGCAACGCCGCGUGAGUGAAGAAGGUUUUCGGAUCGUAAAACUCUGUUGUUAGAGAAGAACAAGGGUGAGAGUAACUGUUCACCCCUUGACGGUAUCUAACCAGAAAGCCACGGCUAACUACGUGCCAGCAGCCGCGGUAAUACGUAGGUGGCAAGCGUUGUCCGGAUUUAUUGGGCGUAAAGCGAGCGCAGGCGGUUUCUUAAGUCUGAUGUGAAAGCCCCCGGCUCAACCGGGGAGGGUCAUUGGAAACUGGGAGACUUGAGUGCAGAAGAGGAGAGUGGAAUUCCAUGUGUAGCGGUGAAAUGCGUAGAUAUAUGGAGGAACACCAGUGGCGAAGGCGGCUCUCUGGUCUGUAACUGACGCUGAGGCUCGAAAGCGUGGGGAGCAAACAGGAUUAGAUACCCUGGUAGU